CAGUCGUACGCUUCUUUUUCCCCGGAGCUUGCUCCACCGGAAAAAGAAGAGUGGCGAACGGGUGAGUAACACGUGGGUAACCUGCCCAUCAGAAGGGGAUAACACUUGGAAACAGGUGCUAAUACCGUAUAACAAUCGAAACCGCAUGGUUUUGAUUUGAAAGGCGCUUUCGGGUGUCGCUGAUGGAUGGACCCGCGGUGCAUUAGCUAGUUGGUGAGGUAACGGCUCACCAAGGCCACGAUGCAUAGCCGACCUGAGAGGGUGAUCGGCCACAUUGGGACUGAGACACGGCCCAAACUCCUACGGGAGGCAGCAGUAGGGAAUCUUCGGCAAUGGACGAAAGUCUGACCGAGCAACGCCGCGUGAGUGAAGAAGGUUUUCGGAUCGUAAAACUCUGUUGUUAGAGAAGAACAAGGAUGAGAGUAACUGUUCAUCCCUUGACGGUAUCUAACCAGAAAGCCACGGCUAACUACGUGCCAGCAGCCGCGGUAAUACGUAGGUGGCAAGCGUUGUCCGGAUUUAUUGGGCGUAAAGCGAGCGCAGGCGGUUUCUUAAGUCUGAUGUGAAAGCCCCCGGCUCAACCGGGGAGGGUCAUUGGAAACUGGGAGACUUGAGUGCAGAAGAGGAGAGUGGAAUUCCAUGUGUAGCGGUGAAAUGCGUAGAUAUAUGGAGGAACACCAGUGGCGAAGGCGGCUCUCUGGUCUGUAACUGACGCUGAGGCUCGAAAGCGUGGGGAGCAAACAGGAUUAGAUACCCUGGUAGUCCACGCCGUAAACGAUGAGUGCUAAGUGUUGGAGGGUUUCCGCCCUUCAGUGCUGCAGCUAACGCAUUAAGCACUCCGCCUGGGGAGUACGACCGCAAGGUUGAAACUCAAAGGAAUUGACGGGGGCCCGCACAAGCGGUGGAGCAUGUGGUUUAAUUCGAAGCAACGCGAAGAACCUUACCAGGUCUUGACAUCCUUUGACCACUCUAGAGAUAGAGCUUCCCCUUCGGGGGCAAAGUGACAGGUGGUGCAUGGUUGUCGUCAGCUCGUGUCGUGAGAUGUUGGGUUAAGUCCCGCAA
rnacentral:rRNA from 1 species